rnacentral:rRNA from 1 species
UACGUAGGGCGCAAGCGUUUGUCCGGAAUUAUUGGGCGUAAAGAGCUCGUAGGCGGUUUGUCGCGUCUGCUGUGAAAGUCCGAGGCUCAACCUCGGAUCUGCAGUGGGUACGGGCAGACUAGAGUGUGGUAGGGGAGACUGGAAUUCCUGGUGUAGCGGUGGAAUGCGCAGAUAUCAGGAGGAACACCAAUGGGCGAAGGCAGGUCUCUGGGCCACAACUGACGCUGGAGGAGCGAAAGCAUGGGGAGCGAACAGG